ensembl:lncRNA
GUAUGUUAGUCAUUAAUGUUUGUACUGUCAGUCACCUGUUUAUUGUCCAUUUUUGAGUUUAUUUCAAAUUACCACAGGCCUUGAACACUUAAAAUGUUGAAUCCUACACAACACUUUACUGUCCUAUCUUCUGGUCUUGCUGCAGAUUUGCUUAAGUCUCAAAACUAUCUCAUGUGCAAGAGGACAUCAAUUUGCUACUAAUCAGACCUGAAACUAAUGAAUAAUUUAUUUUUCAUAAAUGCUGCACUUGCUUUUAAUCACCGUUUUAAUGCAGAAGUGUAUUUUUGUUUAAUCAUGCUCUAAGAUUAUGCCAUGUUGUUAGUCUGACACAUUGUCAAACUUGUUAUGUUACACAAGGCAAGGUGGGGACUGAGGAAUCAAGUUGGAUAGAAAUCCUUCAUUAGCAGAGGCAUGAGAAGGUCAUUUAGAAGCUUGUCUUAAUAAACACCCCCCAGCAAAUGGGCUUUAUUAUAUGUUCCUCCUAUCCUUAAGGGUAUUGAGAAAAUGAUGAUGAAUUGAACACAGACUUCAUAUUUACACUCCAAGAAGCACUGCCUUAUUCAAUUCAGAAGCAUGAAAAAGCUGUCACAGUUACAAAUGACCUAUUACAACACUAAUGCUUUAGAGUGCAGGGCUACUUGAAUGCAUACAGUAUAGUACACUGUGAUUCCAAAGUUAUAGAUUAGCUUCAUCUUUUUAAAAUAAUUUUGGUAAUGCAUGUAUUCACAAAAUAUUUUCAGUACAGCAGAUGAACUACCUUAGCUUGGCUUUUCAAAAUCUUUUAACCUGUUGUUGCUUUGAGAUCCUUUGCAUUCAAGCCUUUACAGCACUGCAGAUUUACCCAGCUGAGGUGUGCCAAAAUCAUGACCAACCCACAUGCCAAAUCACCAUGGGUCCCCUUUCCCCCAUCAUCAUCAUCCAUAUUCUCCAGCAAAUACUCCCAUACACCAACCCACUACACGCCUAUAGCUAAAAUUCAUUUGUUAGUACGGUUGUUUUGAAAAUAGAAGAACCAAGCAUACAGCAGCAGAUAUUUAUCUAAUCUGAACACACAUUUAUUCUGUUGACCCGUGAAGCCCCGGGUUAAAGGGCUAGAUAUGUUCAGUGUAAUGGAGUGCGGGAGGCACAUCCAGUUCUUAAUGUGUAAAAUGGGUGAGGAUAAACAUCACAAAAAUCACUGAGUUGUGUAUAAAAUUAGCCAUAUCACAACAUGUAAACAGAUCAGUUUGAUCCCAAAUAAAGCAGCUUGUAUAACCCAAUGGAGAGUUAUUCAUGAGUAAUGUAGUGGCUACAUUUGGGCUAUCCUAUAUACCAGAUGUCCGACUGUCUUAACUUACCACCAUAAUGUAAUGAACAAAGGCAAUUAUACUUCACCUCACACAAAAAGUCUAAAGUCAACAAAGUCUGUUUUUCCUGUUUUUUUUUUUUUUACAUCUACAAUAUUGCGCAUGGUAAUGACCAAUUUGCUUACUGUAUUUCAGAAAAGGUUUCAAACACACUCUCCCCCUAUAUUGAUGAUUAAUGUUAAAAAUCUAAAUAUUCCAGAUUUUUAACAAGUCAAUUCUUGCGUUACACAUCGUUGGUUAAACCUACAACAUGACUUGGCGUUCAUAACAUUGUAUGCCAACACCACUUUAGUUUUGCAUGAACAAAAGUAGAGUUUUUCAUAUUGGACUGCAAAACAGCCAGAACCAGUUACAAACGAAUACACGCUCACCAGGACGGUCAGGUUAAGACGCUGCAAUGUUGACAGGAAUGCUAAGGCUCGGUGGUCUCUAAAACUCCCGUGGCACUCACAGUAAGAGUAGCCCCGGUCUGAUGCGUAAAUUCCACGAGUAAGUCGCUCCUCACUUUUCUACCUGAUAGUUGACAAAUUGUGAGCCUAUUGACACACACUGAUGCCAUGUAUCACCCGUGUGGGUGCCACACAUUGUUAUACGAUGUGUUAACAAUUUGAGGGGUUUGCGACCUCAUGCUAAUAAGACCUCCGACGUCAGCUGGUACGUGGCUUACCAGUAACCACUCGAGUGUCCUGUCUGAACUGGCCAUGCUAAUACAACAAUCAACUAGUGCAGCAGCCCAUCGUGUCAGAGAAUAGACACUAAAUAAAAACAUUUGAUAUGUUCAAUUAUUUGAUGGGUAUCCGAGUAGCCUCCAACGAGGCUGUUAGCGGAUGUGCCUUGGAAAAACUGGCCUAAUUUUGUUAUUUAACUUUAGCUGCCUCUUUUUUUUUUUUUUUUGGCCCCACAUUAGUGCUUAAUUUCAAAUAUGUUGCUAACUGUUUUAUUUUUACAACUAGUUGACUUGAAACUAAUGCUCACCCUACUAUAGGGGGAGCAAAAAAAAAUUAUAAGAAAGCACCGAAUAUGGCAAACAGUUGUUUUUAAUGUAUUCUACUCAUACACAGAUUUAUGCUGCCAUCACAUUUUCUGGACCUACUCCUCCAGCGC